rnacentral:hammerhead_ribozyme from 1 species
GUACCGCCGAUGAGUCCCAAACUAGGACGAAACAGCCGUUCAGUAC